UACAGAGGUCUCGAGCGUUAGGCGGAAUCACUGGGCUUAAAGCGUGUGUAGGCGGAUCCGUAAGUACCUUGUGAAAUCCCACGGCUUAACCGUGGAACUGCUUGGUAUACUGCGGGUCUUGAGCCACCUAGGGGCGAGCGGAACAGAUGGUGGAGCGGUGAAAUGCGUAGAUAUCAUCUGGAACGCCAACGGUGAAAACAGCUCGCUGGGGGUGUGCUGACGCUGAGACACGAAAGCCAGGGGAGCAAACGGG
rnacentral:rRNA from 1 species